GUAUAAGAGACAGCAGUCGCCGCGGGAAUACAGAGGGUGCGAGCGUUAAUCGGAUUUACUGGGCGUAAAGCGUGCGUAGGCGGCUUCUUAAGUCGGAUGUGAAAUCCCUGAGCUUAACUUAGGAAUUGCAUUCGAUACUGGGAAGCUAGAGUAUGGGAGAGGAUGGUAGAAUUCCAGGUGUAGCGGUGAAAUGCGUAGAGAUCUGGAGGAAUACCGAUGGCGAAGGCAGCCAUCUGGCCUAAUACUGACGCUGAGGUACGAAAGCAUGGGGAGCAAACAGGAUUAGAUACCCCAGUAGUCCCUGUCUCUUAUAC
rnacentral:rRNA from 1 species